rnacentral:lncRNA from 1 species
UUCUGGGUGUAAUGCGUUAGGGGAAAUGGUUGAGGGAGAAACUUCCAGAGAGUAUAAUUUGAUUGUUCGAAGACUAGCAAUGAAUUAAGUGUAGGGUAUUGAUAAUAGGCGAAAUCGAUAUAAUUUGGUGAAUGUUUAUGCUCCCACUUGACUAUAUUCCAAUGUCAUAAUAUGAUUAAUUGAUUAAAAAUAGGCUCUAAUUAUGAAUUGUAUAC